rnacentral:rRNA from 1 species
UGGGGAAUAUUGGGCAAUGGGGGGAACCCUGACCCAGCGACGCCGCGUGAACGAAGAAGGCCGUGAGGUUGUAAAGUUCUUUUCGGGAGGGGGAACAACCGUGGCAGGGAAUGGCCGCGGGAUGACGUGAAUCCCGGAAUAAGCCCCGGCUAACUACGUGCCAGCAGCCGCGGUAACACGUAGGGGGCGAGCGUUGUUCGGAAUCAUUGGGCGUAAAGGGCGUGCAGGCGGUCCUGCAAGUCCGGCGUGAAAGACCCCGGCCCAACCGGGGGGACGCGCUGGAAACUGCGGGGCUUGAGUACAGGAGGGGAUGCCGGAAUUCCAGGUGUAGGGGUGAAAUCUGUAGAUAUCUGGAAGAACACCAAUGGCGAAAGCAGGCAUCUGGCCAUGUACUGACGCUGAGACGCGAAAGUGCGGGGAGCAAACA